UGCGUCGAGCGGACAGAAGGGAGCUUGCUCCCGGAUGUUAGCGGCGGACGGGUGAGUAACACGUGGGUAACCUGCCUGUAAGACUGGGAUAACUCCGGGAAACCGGAGCUAAUACCGGAUAGUUCCUUGAACCGCAUGGUUCAAGGAUGAAAGACGGUUUCGGCUGUCACUUACAGAUGGACCCGCGGCGCAUUAGCUAGUUGGUGGGGUAAUGGCUCACCAAGGCGACGAUGCGUAGCCGACCUGAGAGGGUGAUCGGCCACACUGGGACUGAGACACGGCCCAGACUCCUACGGGAGGCAGCAGUAGGGAAUCUUCCGCAAUGGACGAAAGUCUGACGGAGCAACGCCGCGUGAGUGAUGAAGGUUUUCGGAUCGUAAAGCUCUGUUGUUAGGGAAGAACAAGUGCGAGAGUAACUGCUCGCACCUUGACGGUACCUAACCAGAAAGCCACGGCUAACUACGUGCCAGCAGCCGCGGUAAUACGUAGGUGGCAAGCGUUGUCCGGAAUUAUUGGGCGUAAAGGGCUCGCAGGCGGUUUCUUAAGUCUGAUGUGAAAGCCCCCGGCUCAACCGGGGAGGGUCAUUGGAAACUGGGAAACUUGAGUGCAGAAGAGGAGAGUGGAAUUCCACGUGUAGCGGUGAAAUGCGUAGAGAUGUGGAGGAACACCAGUGGCGAAGGCGACUCUCUGGUCUGUAACUGACGCUGAGGAGCGAAAGCGUGGGGAGCGAACAGGAUUAGAUACCCUGGUAGUCCACGCCGUAAACGAUGAGUGCUAAGUGUUAGGGGGUUUCCGCCCCUUAGUGCUGCAGCUAACGCAUUAAGCACUCCGCCUGGGGAGUACGGUCGCAAGACUGAAACUCAAAGGAAUUGACGGGGGCCCGCACAAGCGGUGGAGCAUGUGGUUUAAUUCGAAGCAACGCGAAGAACCUUACCAGGUCUUGACAUCCUCUGACAACCCUAGAGAUAGGGCUUUCCCUUCGGGGACAGAGUGACAGGUGGUGCAUGGUUGUCGUCAGCUCGUGUCGUGAGAUGUUGGGUUAAGUCCCGCAACGAGCGCAACCCUUGAUCUUAGUUGCCAGCAUUUAGUUGGGCACUCUAAGGUGACUGCCGGUGACAACCGGAGGAAGGGGGGAUGACGUCAAUCAUCAUGCCCUUAUGACUGGGCUACC
rnacentral:rRNA from 1 species